UUAAUGUGCCGAUUAUAGUGAAAAAAGUCUAUCCCGGUCUAGGGUGAUGUCUUCAAAUGGCUUCUUUUGUCAGCCCAAAACACAAAGAUAUUCAGUAACAUAUUAUAAAGAGGGGAAAUGUAGUCUUGACACUUGAGAGAUGAAAAGGUUGACAAUACUUUGACAAUCAACUUAUCAACGUAUCUCACCAGAUUCCUUCACUGCAGCAACUUCCUGAGUGGACAGCUUUCGUUUACGUCUUCCUCGUCUCUCCGUCUUCUCUUCCUACAUAACAAAAUAAGAGUUAACACAAAGGUUAGGGUACUGCGUCGACACUUACAUUUAUCUAAUUUGUAAGAGCAAAAUUUCAAACGCAUUGAGUGGCAUUACCUUUUCGGACAGAUCUGACCCCUUCUCAUCUUCCUGGCUGUCUGUACUGGAGACAUUGCCUGAAAAAUACAAACAAAAAGAGCUGACAUCUACAGGAGAGGACUUGAUGACACAUAAAAGCCAUGCUCUAAAGGACAGUUUCACAUUUGUCUAACUGUAAAUAUCUUAUUUGUGGCACCAGUUGAGGAAAAAAUCGUAACAUACAAAAGUCACAUGACUCACUGAUUUGUUUGACCAGUGUGGACUGACCCUCCGAUCCACUUUCUCUGAUCUCCUCAGUCUCCUGCGGUGCAUUGUGUUCCAUCUGGAUAUAUUUACAGAUCAACAAAAGGAAUAUAAUAUACAUACAAAGAGAGGCAGACAUGAGUUUGGAUCAGAUAAUAUCACAGGGGAAAUGUUCCAGGCGGUUUACAUCUGAACAUGGUGAGUGUGACGGAGGCCGAACACUUACAGUUUGUGGAUCACUCUUCUCUGUGGCAGCUUUUUCUUCCUCCACCGUCUUACUCUCAGCUUCACCUAGUGGGGAAAUGAAGCAGUGUUAAAAAUAUAGCCUACGGUAUUAAGAAUGUCUUCAAUCAAAGUGAGACAAGUAAACAUCUUACUAUUAUCUACAUCCAUCUUGUCCUGGUCGUCAUCAGCUGACACUUCCUCUGCCUGUUGUUGAAAAUUGAUAAUUAAGUUUAGUUUUGUUUACAAUUUUUAAAUGUAAUCAGUUCAAAUGUGUUAAUGGUACCUCACCUUUGGGCUCGUCUUUGUGUCUACAGCAUCUGCCUCAGUUUGCUCUAAAAAUAACAAUAAAGUAAACAGUGAGACAAAGACAACACAUCUUUUACUUUUCUACCAAGAAUGAUUUCAAGCACUGACCUUGUUCGGCGGGAAUGUCCGAGACUUGUUCAGUGGUAUCAACUGCAGCUGUGCUUUCCUCUGUGGUUUCUCCAACCUCUUCUGACACUACAGUACCAGCCUCUGACGUAUGGUAAACAGUACAUUAAAAUAAAUGAGCACUGUGAGGCUGAAACAGUCAAAAAUGUAUUUGACCUAACGACAAGCUGAUUGGGAAUCAUUCUAAAGUUUACCGUCUUUGCUAGUUGAUGCUGCUGCUGCUGCCACGUUUCCAUCUGGCUGUUUCUCAGGAGCGAUUUCUUCAAUGUUAGCUUCAUCCAUAUUUGAAAUAACUUGGGGUUCAUUUGAAGUAGUUUCAACAUCCUGUGUAGAAGCUAAAUAAUGAUUAUCCAGAGCACAAUAACACUUAUAUUAUACUUUACAUACUAAUCUGGAUAUGGAUAUAAUUGAUUUAGAAGUCCUGCAAAAAAUAUUUGAAUAUUUUUUUCUCUCUACUAAGGAAGUACUGAAAUUGCCCAUCACAAUUUUUAAAAAUGGCCUCUUCAAAUGAUACACCCAAUGAUGCAAAAUAACAUCAAACUAGAUAAAUGUAGAACAUUUUCACAUUCUCACUACAACAAUUAAUGUGAUUACUACUCAACUAAUACUUUCUGCUUGAUCUUUUAUCUACCAGAAGAAAAUGAAUAUAAAACACAGAAUGAUUUUUCUUAAUGCAAAAGAAGUUUACAGGGUAAAUUGAAUAUAGCCCAAAAAGACUAAAUUAAAGGAAGAAUACAAAGGAAUAAAUACGUAAUUAGACCGUGUGCAACAUUUUCUUACCUGUGGAGCCGGAGACUCUUUUGCCACAUCGUUUUCUUUCUCUGAACCUUCAGACACAUCUGUAAGAGAGGCAUAUUUCUAUUUAGGAAAACAUUCCCACAAGUUUAUGAAGUACAAAAUGCAAACGUUCUGUCUUUACCUGCAGUGUUUUGUUUCUCAUCAGCAGCAGCAGGUGAAGGCUCAGCUUCAGCAGCUAUUUGCUCUUCUUGUUCAGCUUCAGGGGUUUCCUCGGGUUGUUGGGCAGGCUGACUUUCGUCUGGUUUCUCCCCUGUAUUGGGGGGAAUGAGUUUGGAGGCGACUGUACUUUCAGGAUCCAUGGAGAGCAGGGUCAGAGCUGCCUCUUUCAUCAGAUCAGCGUCCUGCAGAAUGGUCUCAGGCCCCUCCGGUGGGAGUCUCGCCUCUGCUGAAGCACAGACAUCCAUGAGAGCCAGCAGAGCGUCGGCCUCGGCGGGCAGGGCGGGGAUCUCGCUAAGUCGGGACUCUGUUUCGCCCUCGGGUGGCUCAGGGGUGAUGUCGCUCAGUGCAUCGCAGGGUUAGGUUCCUUACGGGACACCCGAUCAAAUUUGCCGACGGUGCGUUGUUUGAGAGCCUCUUGGGAACCUUGCUCCAACUCCAGGAUGAAGGAGUGUGUCCGGCUUUUGUCUGAGAGCUUUUUGGGUUCACCGGAGUCUUCUGAGAAGCUGCCGCUCAUCCUUCUGUUCCUCUCAUCAGACGAAGCUGAUUCUGAUAAAUUUCUCAUCAAUUUUGGCUGUGGAGGCUUUAAGGGUGUAGGUUUCAAUUCCUGUUAUUAAACAACAAAAACAAAAACAAAAGGACGCUACAUUACGUUACAUCCCAGCAAUCCUGUUCUCUACGACAUAAUCUGUGUUAUUCCUGAUGUCUUUCACAUACCGCUUUCUUGGAUCCUUCAGUAUCUCCUCUCUUUCUGCCUGAACCCUCUCCCUCUUUCCUGAAUGGAGAAAUGAUUGAAUGCAUUUAUAUAGCGUGUAUACUUUUACAUUUGGUUGUUUCAAUUAUCAGCAGCGUUAUCUACCUUGAGUCUAGCUUCCUCUUCCUGUUGAGAGCCAUUUUUUUCUCCAGAACUUUCCUUUCUUUGCGAGCCUCUUUGGCUCUGGGGCGGUUUUGUUUUUUAUGAUCUGUGUGGUGAACAAAGCCUGGUAAAUGGUGGUUCACAGUUGGAGGAACAUGACGAUAAACAUAGGAUGAAACUACCUUGUUCCUCAGCCUGCGCUGCUUUCUGUUUACGCCUCUCUUCCAUUCGCUCCCUGUUCUGUUGUCUCUUGAGCAGCCUUUCCUCUUUGUCCUUUGCCUAUGAGAACAAAGUUGGGAGACAAAAAUGACAGGACCAUCAAAAUCUGUGUUGUUUGAAAGCUCACGAUCAUCUCAUUUGCCAAGUAAAGCCUUUGAUGUAACUGUUAAAGAAUUAAAGCAAAGACAUUCUGCUAAUGCCAUACCUUUAAUACCAUCAUUAAUAAAAGCUCACCACAGAUUUCCUUCGUUCUUCCACAGUGACUUCAUCAUCCGAGUCGCUAUAGUAACGGGAGUAAAGGAAGGGCUUGUGGACGUAGGCCUUGCGGCGAGGUUUUCGCUCCUCUUCUUCAGCAUCUGUCUGUUUCUUCUCUGCAUUCUCAUCUUGAUCUGAGGCAAGACAAACAAAAACAUGAGAUUCUGACAUAGAAAGAGAGUUGUUUUGUUGAGAGACCACAAAUAACACGGUGAUAAAACUCAUUCAGACCAUCUGAUUGAAGCUCCCCCUCUUCAGACGAGUCAGACAGCCCGUCGUCUUCACUUUGUUCCUCGAAUGACGACAAGUCGCUGGUGUGGACUGAGCUCACUGUGAUGUCGCUCAAGCCGUCCAGGUAUGAUGCUGUCUGGUUUGAUCUCAGUUGAAGGCAGUGGCGGCGGCGGCUCUUCCUCCGAGCAGCUGCCAGGUGACAGAAAUUGACGAACCACCCUCUCCACCUGGGGCCUGAAGAUAUGGUUGACUUUGGGAUCCACCGUCUGGGCCACGAUCCUGUCCACCCCCUGCUCCAGCAUCCCAGAUCUAAGAGGAAAAGUUUCAGUUCAUAAGUAAAAACUAGUUUUGAAACAACACAAUAAAAACUGCUUUCUCACUCA